rnacentral:rRNA from 1 species
UACGUAGGUGGCUGGCGUUGUCCGGAUUUACUGGGCGUAAAGCGCGCGCAGGCGGUCGUUCAAGUCGAGUGUGAAAGCCCCCGGCUCAACUGGGGAGGGUCACUCGAUACUGAUCGACUUGAAGGCAGAAGAGGGAAGCGGAAUUCCCGGUGUAGUGGUGAAAUGCGUAGAUAUCGGGAGGAACACCAGUGGCGAAGGCGGCUUUCUGGUCUGUUCUUGACGCUGAGGCGCGAAAGCUAGGGUAGCAAACGGG